rnacentral:lncRNA from 1 species
UUCAGAGCUCCAGUAGAACCCUACUAGGUUCAUUGAUGGUACCUUGGAUUGCAAUAAGCUUCAUGGUGCUCUUGCGGAAGUCAAGCAGACUUUGGUAGUAGUGGAAGACUUGAAACUAGUUAAGCAUAGAUUAUGAGGUGUUUGUUUGUUGGUGUGGUUUUGAGCCGUUUUUGGAGCAAUGCAUUUGUAACAGUUGUUUAUAAGUUAUUAAUUAUGAUGCUUCAACUUUGGUGUUUCUCUGCGUAAUUAUGCUUUGAAUACGGGUUGAAUAUUUAAUUUUGAUUUAUUCUCUAAAGAUCACAAUCUAGCG